rnacentral:rRNA from 11 species
AGGAGGUUGGCUUAGAAGCAGCCACCCUUUAAAGAAAGCGUAAUAGCUCACUAGUCGAGUCGGCCUGCGCGGAAGAUGUAACGGGGCUCAAACUGGUCACCGAAGCUGCGGCUGCAUACUUUGUAUGCGGGGUAGGGGAGCGUUCUGUAAGCCUGCGAAGGUGUGUUGAGAAGCAUGCUGGAGGUAUCAGAAGUGCGAAUGCUGACGUGAGUAACGACAAAACGGGUGAAAAACCCGUUCGCUGAAAGACCAAGGGUUCCAGUCCAACGUUAAUCGGGGCUGGGUGAGUCGACCCCUAAGGCGAGGCCGAGAGGCGUAGUCGAUGGGAAAUUGGUUAAUAUUCCAAUACUUCUAUGUAAUGCGAUGAGAGGACGGAGAAGGUUAAGUCAGCCUGGCGUUGGUUGUCCAGGUGGAAGGUUGUAGGCAUGUAUCUUAGGCAAAUCCGGGGUACUGUAUGCUGAGAACUGAUAGCAAGCUGUACUUGUACAGUGAAGUGGCUGAUACCAUGCUUCCAGGAAAAGUCUCUAAGCUUCAGUUACAUAGGAAUCGUACCCGAAACCGACACAGGUGGUCAGGUCGAGUAGACCAAAGCGCUUGAGAGAACUCUGCUGAAGGAACUAGGCAAAAUGGUACCGUAACUUCGGGAGAAGGUACGCUGCCGACGGUGAUAGGAUUUACUCCUUGAGCUAUUGGCAGCCACAGAAACCAGGCCCCUGCAACUGUUUAUUAAAAACAUAGCACUCUGCAAACACGAAAGUGGACGUAUAGGGU